CCCUUAGAUGUUCUGGGCCGCACGCGCGCUACACUGAUGCAUUCAACGAGUUUUUCCUGGUCCGAGAGGAAUGGGUAACCUUUUGAAAGUGCAUCGUGCUAGGGAUAGACUAUUGCAAUUAUUGGUCUUCAACGAGGAAUUCCUAGUAGACGUAGUUCAUCAGACUGCAUCGAUUACGUCCCUGCCCUUUGUACACACCGCCCGUCGCUCCUACCGAUUGAAUGGUCCGGUGAAGCGUUCGGACCGUGGCCUUUGGACGGUUCGCCGUCUGUUGGCUGCGGGAAGUUCGUUAAACCUUAUCAUUUAGAGGAAGGAGAAGUCGUAACA
rnacentral:rRNA from 1 species